rfam:Perkinsus marinus ATCC 50983 gcontig_1104296306880, whole genome shotgun sequence.
GGGUGCGUAGCUCAGCGGUAGAGCGGCUGACUGUAGAUCUGCAGGUCCCCGACUCGAACCCGCGCCUA